GCAAGAGUAGCGUGUGCCUCCAAGGAGAUUGAUCCAUAACUCAUGGCUCCAGUACAAAAACGUUUUACAAUCUCACUUGCCGGUUCAACUUCUUCUAGAGGAACUUUAACCUCUCCCUCUUUGAAUUUCAAAAGUCCCCUCAAAUUGCAUUGUCUAUUUAAUUCCUGUACACGCUUAGAAUAUUCUUUGUAGGCAGCUACACUAUUAGAUUGCGCAGCCUCCUGCAAUUUUGCAAUGGCAAAUGGAUCGUUAAGG
rnacentral:misc_RNA from 1 species